UACGGGGGGGGCAAGCGUUGUUCGGAAUUACUGGGCGUAAAGGGUUCGUAGGUGGCCAACUAAGUCAGACGUGAAAUCCCUCAGCUUAACUGGGGAACUGCGUCUGAGACUGGAUGGCUUGAGUGCAGGAGAGGAACGCGGAAUUCCAGGUGUAGCGGUGAAAUGCGUAGAUAUCUGGAGGAACACCGGUGGCGAAGGCGGCGUUCUGGACUGCAACUGACACUGAGGAACGAAAGCGUGGGGAGCGAACGGG
rnacentral:rRNA from 1 species